UACAGAGGUCCCAAGCGUUGUUCGGAUUCACUGGGCGUAAAGGGUGCGCAGGUGGUCGGGUAAGUCUGAUGUGAAAUCCCGCAACUUAACUGCGGAAUGGCAUUGGAUACUAUUCGGCUAGAGGGUUGGAGGGGGGACUGGAAUUCUCGGUGUAGCAGUGAAAUGCGUAGAUAUCGAGAGGAACACCAGUGGCGAAGGCGAGUCUCUGGACAUUUCCUGACGCUGAGGCACGAAAGCCAGGGGAGCAAACGGG
rnacentral:rRNA from 1 species